ensembl:lncRNA
GGAAGUGAACUCACCAAGGCCCUGCUUCUUCAUGGACUAGGACUUAAGUCUCGGUAGCAGCCAUUGGCCGAGGGGCUCUACUUGCCCAACUCUGCUAUCUGACAUGCCCAUUUGAGUCAUGUAAAGCUUUGGUUAAACUCCUAAUAUAAUACAGGCAAAAUAUAGAGGGACAAGGAGCUCGUGCCACUAAUAGCCUGUUGAUACUGGGCAGGGAUGUCUGCUACACAACUCAUCAUUGAAAAGUUGGUCCCGUGAUCAAUUGAGUUGUUUGUUAGGAGAAUGGUGCCAUGGUUGGAAUGUUUAAAGAUGCUGGAAUUAAGGAUGUGGUAUUACUAAAUCAGUCCACUGAUGGGUUUGGCACCUGCCCUAAGCUUGGUAGCUUAGAUACAAUAUAGAAGAGUGUUAUAGUCAGGAUUUGCAAGAGAAUAGAUUUAAUAUAGGACAUAUAAUUUACAGAAUUAUUUUAUAAUAUUCACCCCAAAAGCCCAAUGCAGAGGAGUGCUAGAAAUCUGUCCACACACUAGAGAUCCAAAGAAUCCAGCCAAGGCCCUGGAUCCCACAGCAAUGUCCAGCACAAGGCCACCCAGAGGCCUAGAGCCCACAGCAAUAUCUCUUGCUUGUCUAUAUCAAGGAUCUGCACCAGGAAGCCCCAAAGGCCAGUGGUGGAAGCUAGAAAGCCUGCAGUGGAGGAAUAAAGGAUCCAUGCCACCAGGCUGAGGAAUCUUCACUGGAACCAGGAAGCAAUACUCAAGGUGAAGAUCAGAGCUCCCCUGAUAAGAAUAGUAGCUGUUCUCAUCCAACAACAAGGACCCAAGCUCCAACAAUGACAAGAUCAGCCAAGUUUGCAUUAGGAAAACCAGCUGCAGGAAGCCUCCCCAGCAGUGAGAAGAUAACUAAGACAAGCCAUAUCUGGAUGGUCAAACAAAACCUCCGGGUUAACUGCUGGGGAUCACAAAACCCAAAGGGAAUGCAUCAUGAGAAGGAGCCAGCAGAAACAAGAAGCAGCUUCUAAGUCAGACCACAAAUACUCCAGAUGCUGACCUCAAUUCUCAGAAAAUGGACAAUGAGUGUGUUUAAUACAUUUAAGUGUAAAAAGCCAUUGAUAGUGUAAGGAAAGCACAAGAGACUGAAUCACCCAGCUUUGCCAAGCUAAAAAUAAACCCCAAAUUCUUUUUAAAAGAAAGGCUGGUUUCUAGCUCAUGUUACAUGUGGCUGGGGGACACCUAAGGGUCUGUUCUAAUCUCAGUGACUUCUUCAUUCCAGGAACUAGCCUGAAGGUUGUGCCAAAGGGGAAAGGAAUAUCAGUCCAUGCAAAGGCAAUUAGAACUUCUGCUUGGGGAGUAUGUCACAUCUGCCCACAUUCCCUUGGCCAGAGACACAGCCAAGUCUCAAUUAAUCAGAAUGAGGAAGUUACUCCUCCCCAUGGGAAAACCACAGUCACAUGGCACUUGCCGAUCAUGAAGGGAAAGAAUUACUGGGAGCAAUAGUUACCAUCUCAUACUGUCUUUCUCUCCUUGUCACUGGAACACAAUACCCGAUAUCCACAACUUACAGGAAGAGAGGUUCAUUUUGGCUCAUGGUUUAUAGCCUGUGGUCAGCUGGCUGCAAGACAGGACAGCAGGGCAGCAAGGCAUAGUGCAGAAGAGCUGCUUGUGGCAUGGCGGACAGGAAGCAGAGAGUGAAGGGAGGAGCUGGGAAGGGAGAUAACCCUUCCAGGCCACACCCCCAGUGACCCACUUCUUCCAACCAGAUCCCUCCUAACAGUGAGUCCGCUAUAAGCGCAUAAUCCAAUCACGUUCCAAAAGCACCAUCUAGGAGCACAUAAGGC